UACGUAGGGGGCAAGCGUUGUCCGGAUUUAUUGGGCGUAAAGCGCUCGCAGGUGGUCCGUUGCGUCGUGCGUGAAAGACCCCGGCUCAACCACGGGCCUGCAUCCGAUACUGGCGGGCUCGAGGCAGGCAGGGGAGAUCGGAAUUCCUGGUGUAGCGGUGAAAUGCGCAGAUAUCAGGAGGAACACCGGUGGCGAAGGCGGAUCUCUGGGCCUGUCCUGACGCUCAGGCGCGAAAGCUAGGGGAGCAAACAGG
rnacentral:rRNA from 1 species